rnacentral:rRNA from 1 species
UUAGUCAAUGCUCGCAAGAGUGAACUAGCUAACUGAAAUCAACGGUGUGUCAUCGUUGAUAAGGUAAGGGAAAAGAAAUGAUAGUACCUUACUAUUAGUGUCGUCCAAAUACUCGUGCCAGAAGACUCGGUAAGGCGAGAGACGCAAACGUUAGUCGUCUUAAUCAGGCGUAAAGGGUUUGUAGGCGGCUUUAAGUAUUUAAUUCUUUUAAAUAACAUACUUAUUUUAUCUAUAUUCUCUUUUUCUCUAUCCAAUUUAUUAAAACAAAAAGGAGGGAAUUGUAGAGGUAGAUUUCAAGUAAAAUCUUUUCUAAGAUAAAAAGAAAAAAUCAAUUAAAGCUAGAAUCAAAUAGAGGUUAAAUUAAAUAAUACUUGGUGUAAGAUUGGUAUCUUUAAAAACCAAGCGGAAUACUAACGGCGAAGGCUUUUUUCCAAUAAUGAUUGACGCUGAGAAACUAAGGUGAGGACAGAAAAAAGGAUUAGAGACCCUAGUAUCCCUCACUGUCAACGAUGAAUGGUAGUUACCAGAUAUUAAUUUAAAAUAGAAAUAAAAAAAAAAUAAUAUUUUAAACAAUAAAUCUAGAGACGAUGUUAACACGUAAACCAUUCCGCCUUGUGAGUAUGACUGCAA